UAAGGAAUAUUGGUCAAUGGACGCAAGUCUGAACCAGCUAUGCCGCGUGAAGGAUUAAGGUCCUCUGGAUUGUAAACUCCUUUUAUCUGGGACGAAAAAAGGUCUUUCUAGAUCACUUGACGGUACCAGAUGAAUAAGCACCGGCUAACUCCGUGCCAGCAGCCGCGGUAAUACGGAGGGUGCAAGCGUUAUCCGGAUUCACUGGGUUUAAAGGGUGCGUAGGCGGGCAGGUAAGUCAGUGGUGAAAUCCUGGAGCUCAACUCCAGAACUGCCAUUGAUACUAUCUGUCUUGAAUAUUGUGGAGGUAAGCGGAAUAUGUCAUGUAGCGGUGAAAUGCUUAGAUAUGACAUAGAACACCCAUUGCGAAGGCAGCUUACUACGCAUAUAUUGACGCUGAGGCACGAAAGCGUGGGGAUCAAACAGGAUUAGAUACCCUGGUAGUCCACGCCCUAAACGAUGGAUACUCGACAUACGCGAUACACUGUGUGUGUCUGAGCGAAAGCAUUAAGUAUCCCACCUGGGAAGUACGUUCGCAAGAAUG
rnacentral:rRNA from 1 species